CAGCAGCCGCGGGAACACGUAGGGGGCAAGCGUUAUCCGGAAUUACUGGGUGUAAAGGGAGCGUAGACGGUUAAACAAGUCUGAAGUGAAACGCCGGGGCUCAACCCCGGAGCUGCUUUGGGAACUGUAGAACUGGAGUGUCGGAGGGGUAAGCGGAAUUCCCAGUGUAGCGGUGAAAUGCGUAGAUAUUGGGAGGAACACCGGCGGCGAAGGCGGCUUACUGGACGACAACUGACGUUGAGGCUCGAAGGCGUGGGUAGCAGACAGGAUUAGAUACCCCAGUAGUCCCUGUCUCUUAUAC
rnacentral:rRNA from 1 species